rnacentral:rRNA from 1 species
GAGGGUAAGCAGGAAAGAGAGACCUAGGGGAGAAGAGAGGGUGCUAGGAGAGAGAGAAGGGGUUGACGGCGGCGGUGGUAGCAGCGGACCAUGGCCGGUCAAGGCCGCUUCAGGCAGUGGUAGGUCGUGUAGGUGCUCCAGUAGAACACUGCGACGAGGAAGAGGUGGUGCAACUAGGUAGCGCGGCGAGGAGAUGCUCGCCGGGGCCGAUUGGGAUCGUGGCGCCAGUAGCCACGUGAUGUGCCGCAGCGGUACCUGCGGCCGCGACGCGGACGCCGAGGCUAGCCAGGAGCGACUGUGGCGGAUUCAGGAGGGCGUGACGUAGCGGAGGACCAGCAACAAGGUCCGCGGAGGUAGCUGACCUCCUUGCUACCCGGGAGCAGGAACACGGUCACGCGCAGGCACUUCCUUUGUUUGGCACUACACGGCGGAGUCUAGUUGACACACUUCCGUCGCCCCCUACCUAGUGUUCCCCUCUCCACGUCAGGAGGUCUCGACAACCUAGGGUUUUAACCUUCUACUACCGCUAUACAACGCUCCUACUCACGAAGAGGUAAAAGACAAGACAUACACCACCAGCUGCAAACAUGGAGCGAGCCCGAUUAAAGAAACCACGUGCCCGAAAGUCUAGAUUCCAAGUGACCGUGUGUUCUCAGUGAACCAACAAACUACGUAAGCACGAGCAGCCGCCCUGCCACGUUCCGCGUUGAGGCUACGCCAAGGAGUGGCCAACCUGCCGAAAGUCCGCGUUGGGGCCACGAGUGACUCAUGACGGAGCCGAUGUUGGAGGGUGCCACUCCAUUUUUUGCUGAUGCUAGCCUAAGGGACCGAGGAGUCGCUAAACCCGGAGGACCGGCAAUCUAAGCAAACGAACUACACUAAGGUCGGCGGCCUAGCUCGUCACCCUACUGGACGCGGCAGCCUAACUAAGCAACGAGGACAGCGUUACUUUCAGUGGCAAAGGGACCCAAAAGCGAAUGAGGCGGCAAAACUCGCAUAAAGCGACCGCACACCCCAAAGGCCGCACACCCGACGGAACAAGUCACUGGCACCGAUACACAAAACCGACACACCGGGCACCCCGCGCACCCGACCGUUUAUAGAACACGGUGGCGUUCUUUAUUGCAUGGGGGUGUCUCCCAUAAAACCAGAAAAGUGCAAAACCGGAACACGCACCACCUGCCACCAACCGGGCACGCACCUACUCCACCCCCUCCCGUGGUCGAACGGGAAAGCACGAGGGUAGGCGGGAAAGAGAGACUUAGGGGAGAAGAGAGUGUGCUGGGAGAGAGAGCACAACCCCGCUACUACUAAUCGGCACCGACCUUUUUUCACACGGAAACUCGUUGGCUCCGUGGACACCCAUAGUUCAACUUAGGAGGGAGAACAGAGAUCUUAGGAAAAACUAGUACACUAUGAACAACGAGACAGGAACCUACCAGUAAGAACAACUCACUAUUGGUCCCGUUGAGGUGACAUAUUUGUCUAACUAGACCACUAUUCUCUGCCGCCAUCCAAUAUACUAGCUCCGUUCAGUCUAGACUCGGGUGAUACGUUACUUGGGACCUGGGAAAAUAAACAUAAAUUUCCACAACGAAUAAAUACGAGGUGACGAAUAUCAGCAGAAUACAUUUCUAAAGAAGAGAGAGUAUGGAAAUAACGUAUGCUCAAGAACUAGAAAAUAACAAACAACAACCAGGAACUAAAUUAGACCAAUUCUCAUUCAACAUGAAACAAUAUGAUCUUUCUGAGCGAGGGUUGUUCAAUAGCCUCGGCGAGAAUAACGGAACUCAAACAUACCAUUUUUAUACGGAACCGUACUCCCACGGCCAGGGUUGUAAAACCAGUCCGCUUAUGAUCUUUUUGAGCGUCCAAGCCGGGACCUCCAAGAGUCCGAGCUGAGGCUCUCGACGAGCGAAAGGCUCCUCAGGGACCACGUAGCGACGGGCUGGGGAAAAAAACGAAGUUAAAACCAACCCGAAGUCUAAGCUAGCACCCAACUGGACCCAGACCCACACGAAGGAAGAGAAACACAAACACGAUGUCCGCUCCUAACACGAGCCUCUCCUGGGUGUGCUGCGAGGCGAACGGCAGCACCACGUGGGGAAAACUUUAAAGGGCUCUAUCGACUAACCACGAUGUACUAUGUCACCACAAGAGGUUGUAGAAGGUACAGGUAUUUGAUACCAAAUAAACAACCAGAUUAAUAGAGAACGAAUAGUCAUGCCUCUGAUGUUAAACAAGUCAGCAUUUAUUCUACAGAUUGAGGUUCAACUUCAUAACAGUCUGAAAUAAAAAACAUCACAAACUAUUUGGCCACCAAAUAUCAUGGUACCCUUAAACAGAGUAUGCAUCAUACACCAAGGAAUAUUUUUAUACGGUUAGCACAACUUUGUUCAUUAAAUAGAUCGAUGUGUACGGGAAAGACUACGUAACGCCCAAACGAUAGUUUGAGAGUUUUUCUUUCUUGUUGAAAUAAAACAAAACAACCCUUUGGAAAGACAUCAGUGAUGGAACUGUCUCUGUUGAUACAUUGGCUCCUAUAUAAACCACCCAAAAGUCCGUUUCGAAUCGCCUAUAAAAAUAUCCAAGUCGCGAACGAAAUACGAAACUAUUGAAAUUUAAGGAAAACAAGAAACCUAAUAGUAUCGUAUGAGCAGAGAAGAUUAGGAUCGUUCCCGUAAGAAGUACAAAUGUCUAUCAAACCGCGAGAGUACCAAGAAAAGCUCUCUAACAAGAAGGCUCGUAAUAAACCAUUGGUAGAUGACAUCUAGUAGAUGACGGGAAUACUGGACUCGGGCGUCCUUAGCUACGACGACGCACUGCACCUCGGGUACGGGCUGGGGCUGCUGCCGCCAGCUGGUGUUGGAGGGAGAGGCCUCUUCGAGUCCGACGGUGGUGUGUUUCCCUCUCCUCGGGUUCUACUUAGAUAGGGCGGAAUGACAGUUACUGGGUUGCUGUCUCUGUCGAUGAAGCCCGGAUCCACUCAUCGGCGGUCGGGACGUAAAGCUCGGAUCCAUUGGUUCAAACACAGAUGAAGAUACUAAUCAACGAAUACGAAGUACCAGAAACACUUUGUGUUGUACUACGGAACAACCAAGGACCCGUUCCGGAAAACCCUGGCUAGAGAGAUCGCAAUUUCUUUCGUUCUAACUACGAGACAAAAGAGAUAAAAACAACCCAACCUUAUCUCACCCAAUGGCUAGGGUAUACGGUCAUAUAUCCUUCUUGUUUUUUUGAAAUCAACUAAAUGGAAAAUUGGAUUUAAAUAUAUCCUUUGAAUAUGAUUGGAAAUAGAGUCAAUCAACGUGGUCAAACGUACAUAAAGUCAACACCGAGGAAAUAAGAUUCAAUCGACGUAGUAGAACGUCAAUAAUCACAAGAAGGUACGGAUGAAUGUACUCACACAGUGAAUAUAACAAGUACCACAUACGGUUGACUAGUAACAUGUUGGUAACAACGGAUAGUUAUUUAAAACCCCAUUACCUCUGUAACUAGCAGAAAGAGCCUGUUAUAUACCAAACUGAAGAACAACAAUGUAAAAACAAACGCAGUCUUAAUAUUGUACAUAAACCAAUAACGUUGUCCAUCGAAUAAAUGGGGGAUUAGGGGAAAUGAAAACAAACUAUGACACAUGUAUAGUUACAAAUCAGUGAACUUAAGUCUUGUUUCUAUACCAUGUGGCCUGUGCUUUCUUUCGUCAUCUAUCUAUAUGUCUAAGUCUACUAUAUCAAAGACAUCUACGCUUCGUGCCUUCAAGAUCCAUUUUCACUUAGACAAUCCCCCCUUUUGCUUCCGAACACACGGAUAAUCAAUAAAAAAAACAAAAUAGUAACAGCCGUGGAAUAGAUAGACAUUGUACACACUGGACACGUUGACGUUUUCAUAACCCGUUAUUUUUAAGACACAUUGUGUACAAAACAUACGUGAGACGGAUACGAAUCAUAUCUUUGAUACGUACCUACAAUGAGAGAAAAAACACCGGAACACAUCUAACAUUUAUUUAAUAGUGCUUGUUAACUCGGAAAGUGAAAAAGACAUCGGAUGGCUCGGAAACGCCAUAACGAAAGUAACAUAUUUGCAUACUUUAUGUUUUGCAGAGUAUGGUCCAACCUAUACUGACCCCGCCCACCCCACGCCGUUCAGCGUGAAGGAUAGAUCAUAUGUAAUCUGAUCGGUGUCACCCUCAUUGAAGUCGUC